rnacentral:tRNA from 1 species
CACUAGGAAGCUAAUAAUUGGACUAAGCGUUGACCUUUUAAGUCAAAGUCUGGUGCCUGCCGACCACCUCUAGUGA